ACAUGCAAGUCGAGCGAACAGAAGGGAGCUUGCUCCCGGAUGUUAGCGGCGGACGGGUGAGUAACACGUGGGUAACCUGCCUGUAAGACUGGGAUAACUCCGGGAAACCGGAGCUAAUACCGGAUAGUUCCUUGAACCGCAUGGUUCAAGGAUGAAAGACGGUUUCGGCUGUCACUUACAGAUGGACCCGCGGCGCAUUAGCUAGUUGGUGGGGUAAUGGCUCACCAAGGCGACGAUGCGUAGCCGACCUGAGAGGGUGAUCGGCCACACUGGGACUGAGACACGGCCCAGACUCCUACGGGAGGCAGCAGUAGGGAAUCUUCCGCAAUGGACGAAAGUCUGACGGAGCAACGCCGCGUGAGUGAUGAAGGUUUUCGGAUCGUAAAGCUCUGUUGUUAGGGAAGAACAAGUGCGAGAGUAACUGCUCGCACCUUGACGGUACCUAACCAGAAAGCCACGGCUAACUACGUGCCAGCAGCCGCGGUAAUACGUAGGUGGCAAGCGUUGUCCGGAAUUAUUGGGCGUAAAGGGCUCGCAGGCGGUUUCUUAAGUCUGAUGUGAAAGCCCCCGGCUCAACCGGGGAGGGUCAUUGGAAACUGGGAAACUUGAGUGCAGAAGAGGAGAGUGGAAUUCCACGUGUAGCGGUGAAAUGCGUAGAGAUGUGGAGGAACACCAGUGGCGAAGGCGACUCUCUGGUCUGUAACUGACGCUGAGGAGCGAAAGCGUGGGGAGCGAACAGGAUUAGAUACCCUGGUAGUCCACGCCGUAAACGAUGAGUGCUAAGUGUUAGGGGGUUUCCGCCCCUUAGUGCUGCAGCUAACGCAUUAAGCACUCCGCCUGGGGAGUACGGUCGCAAGACUGAAACUCAAAGGAAUUGACGGGGGCCCGCACAAGCGGUGGAGCAUGUGGUUUAAUUCGAAGCAACGCGAAGAACCUUACCAGGUCUUGACAUCCUCUGACAACCCUAGAGAUAGGGCUUUCCCUUCGGGGACAGAGUGACAGGUGGUGCAUGGUUGUCGUCAGCUCGUGUCGUGAGAUGUUGGGUUAAGUCCCGCAACGAGCGCAACCCUUGAUCUUAGUUGCCAGCAUUUAGUUGGGCACUCUAAGGUGACUGCCGGUGACAAACCGGAGGAA
rnacentral:rRNA from 1 species